UCUGUCCCUAGAGGCCUUGCAGGUGUGGCUGCUGUGUCACAGGGGCAUCAGUGGGUGGCAGAGAGAAGAGAGGCCAUGUCUACAUUCAGUGCUCUGACCUGUGAACAUCUGAAUGGUUAGUAGCCAAACAUU